CUCUCGCCUCUACUAUCCAACUCCUGUGAGGGACUCAGGCAUAGUUCGGGCGGAGGCAGAAAGAGCGAGCGCGCGAAGAACUUCGGGAGAGCGCUUGUGACGCUACGAACCUCUCGAACACCUGACGACUGGGCGCCAGGGCCGGAUGGAGGGUGGAGAGCCAGUGCGGCGCAGCUGCCUCCUCUUAACGGGGACACCUUGCAGGAAUGUGCGGAGUGGAGCUAACGGGAGCGGAUAGAAACCGAGGGAGGGGAAGAGAGCGCGAAGGCUUGGCCGGAAGGAGAGGUUAAAAAGGAAAGGCCUAAAAUGAGGAAGAGAGUUACCACAACAAGCAGUACCUAGUUCCAGUUCUUGGUCCCAGGAGUUUGUGGUUGUUGCUGCUUUCAUCUUCCUCAGCCAACACAAAAGGAAAGUGCCAAGGGGCGAUUCCUAGGACCUUCAGUGCAGUCUCCACCUUGCGGACUUGGCUCAUUUGUGUCCACUCCUUUCUCCAGCCUUUUACACUUGAUGCUCUUGGAUGAAUAGAAAGGAGCACAAUUAAUGGAAAACACAAGCUUGGGAGUCAAGGGAUUUGGGUUCUAUUCUUGUCCUCCCUUGGUGACGACAUCAUU
rnacentral:lncRNA from 1 species